rnacentral:rRNA from 1 species
AUUGAACGCUGGCGGCAGGCCUAACACAUGCAAGUCGAGCGAGAGGGGGGCGGGUGAGUAAUGUCUGGGAAAAAGCGCGAGGUGGGGGGAUAAAAACAGGAAACGGUAGCGAAUACAGCGUACCAUAAGAUGUGUCCCGGUGGGGUUUGCGAGUAGGUGGGGGAACGGCUAACCUAGGCGACGAUCCCUAGCUGGUCUGAGAGGAUGACCAGCCACACUGGAACUGAGACACGGUCCAGACUCCUACGGGAGGCAGCAGUGGGGAAUAUUGCACAAUGGGCGCAAGCCUGAUGCAGCCAUGCCGCGUGUGUGAAGAAGGCCUUCGGGUUGUAAAGCACUUUCAGCGGGGAGGCGUUACCCGCAGAAGAAGCACCGGCUAACUCCGUGCCAGCAGCCGCGGUAAUAC